rnacentral:rRNA from 1 species
AUUGAACGCUGGCGGCAGGCUUAACACAUGCAAGUCGAGCGGGGGAAGGUAGCUUGCUACCGGACCUAGCGGCGGACGGGUGAGUAAUGCUUAGGAAUCUGCCUCUUAGUGGGGGACAACCUCUCGAUAGGGAUGCUAAUACCGCAUACGUCCUAGGGGAGAAAGCAGGGGAUCUUCGGACCUUGCGCGAAUAGAUGAGUCUAAGUCGGAUUAGCUAGUUGGUGGGGUACAGACCUACCAAGGCGACGAUCUGAAGCGGGUCUGAGAGGAUGAUACGCCACACUGGGACUGCGACACGGCCCAGACUCCUACGGGAGGCAGCAUUGGGGAAUAUUGGACAAUGGGGGGAACCCUGAUCCAGCCAUGCCGCGUGUGUGAAGAAGGCCUUAUGGUUGUAAAGCACUUUAAGCGAGGAGGAGGCUACUUUAGUUAAUACCUAGAGAUAGUGGACGUUACUCGCAGAAUAAGCACCGGCUAACUCUGUGCCAGCAGCCGCUGUAA